UCCCUGUGUCCCUGUCCCUAACUCUGUCCCCUGUCCCCAUCCCUGUGUCCCCAUCCCUGUGUCCCCAUCCCUGUGUCCCCAUCCCUGUGUCCCUGUCCCCAGCUCUGUCCCUGUGUCCCUGUCCCCUGUCCCUGUGUCCCCAUCCCUGUGUCUUCUGUCCCCAACUCUGUCCUCUGUCCCCAUCCCCAUGUCCUCUGUCCCCUGUCCCCAUCCCUGUGUUCCUGUCCCCAGCUCUGUCCCCUGUCCCCGUGUUCCUGUCCCCAUCCCCAUGUCCUCUGUCCCCUGUCCCUGUCCCCUGUCCCCAUCCUUGUGUCCCUGUCCCCAACUCUGUCCCCUGUCCCCAUCCCCAUGUCCUCUGUCCCCUGUCCCUGUCCCCUGUCCCCAUCCUUGUGUCCCUGUCCCCAACUCUGUCCCCUGUCCCCAUGCCCAUGUCCUCUGUCCCCUGUCCCUGUCCCCUGUCCCCAGCUCUGUCCCCCGUCCCCAGCUCUGUCCCUGUCCCCAAAUCCCUGUCCCCUGUGUCCCCACACGUGUCACCUCUGUCCCCACACCCUCCCCAUGUGUGUCACCAUGUCCCCAGCCGGUGUCCCCCAUGUCUCCCCAUGUCCCCAGGGGUGUCCCCAGGGGUGUCCCCAGGGGUGUCCCCACUGAUGUCCCCUGUGUCCCCACCGAUGUCCCCUGUGUCCCCACAUGUCCCCAGCCUGCGGGCAGCUCUCGGGGGGCUCUGAGGACCCCGGUGAGGCGGAGGCCGGGUGGAUCGAGGG
rnacentral:lncRNA from 1 species